GCCUGAGACACGAUGACGAGUGAAAAAUAGUAACGAAGUCCUUGAUCCUCCGCUGCCAAGAAAAGCUGCUAAGGAAUAUAGAGGUGCCCGUACCGCAAACCGACACAGGUAGACAGGUAGAGAAUACUAAGGCGCGCGAGAUAACUCUUGUUAAGGAACUCUGCAAAAUGAACCCGUAACUUCGGGAGAAGGGUUGCUCUCUAGCGUGAGUAUGAGCAAUACAGAGCGCAGGAGAGUCGCAGUGAAAAGGUCCAGGCGACUGUUUAGCAAAAACACAGGUCAUUGCAAAAUCGCAAGAUGAAGUAUAAUGGCUGACGCCUGCCCGGUGCUGGAAGGUUAAGGGGAAGAGUGCAAGCUUUGAACCGAAGCCCCAGUAAACGGCGGCCGUAACAAUAACGGUCCUAAGGUAGCGAAAUUCCUUGUCGGGUAAGUUCCGACCCGCACGAAAGGCGAAACGAUCUGGACGCUGUCUCAACAAGGGACUCGGUGAAAUUGAAAUUCCGGUAAAGAUGCCGGAUACCUGCGAUAGGACAGAGAGACCCCAUGGAGCUUUACUGUAGCCUGAUAUUGGGUUCGGAUAUUCAUGUACAGGAUAGGUGGGAGACUAAGAAGCAUGGACGCCAGUUUGUGCGGAGUCACUGGUGGGAUACCACCCUUAAAUGUUUGGAAUUCUAACAAGGAGUCUUGAAGCAGAUUAUUGGACAGUGUCAGGUGGGCAGUUUGACUGGGGCGGUCGCCUCCCAAAAGGUAACGGAGGCGCUCAAAGGUUCCCUCAGAACGGAUGGAAAUCGUUCGCAGAGUGCAAAGGCAGAAGGGAGCUUGACUGCGAGAGCCACAACUCGAGCAGAUAGGAAACUAGGACUUAGUGAUCCGGCGGUCGCGAGUGGAAGUGCCGUCGCUCAACGGAUAAAAGCUACCCUGGGGAUAACAGGCUUAUCUCCCCCAAGAGUUCACAUCGACGAGGAGGUUUGGCACCUCGAUGUCGGCUCAUCGCAUCCUGGGGCUGAAGUAGGUCCCAAGGGUUGGGCUGUUCGCCCAUUAAAGCGGUACGCGAGCUGGGUUCAGAACGUCGUGAGACAGUUCGGUCCCUAUCCAUCGCGGGCGUAGGAAAUUUGAAGGAAGCUGACCCUAGUACGAGAGGACCGGGUUGGACAGACCGCUGGUGAACCAGUUGUUCUGCCAAGAGCAUAGCUGGGUAGCUAAGUCUGGAAAAGAUAAACGCUGAAAGCAUCUAAGCGUGAAGCGAACCUUAAGAUGAGAUUUCCCACAACGAAAGUUGAUAAGACACCAGAGAGAAUAACUGGUAGAUAGGUCAGGAGUGUAAGUGUGGUGACACAUUGAGCGGACUGAUACUAAUAAGUCGAAGACUUAGUC
rnacentral:rRNA from 1 species